CUCCCGGCUUCCCGCAAAUCAGCUGUUAGUGUGGGAAGCCUGGGAAGGAAGCAGCAGCUUCCUGCAGAAGAAACUUAUGACAAGGAUGAGAUUUGGAAUACUGUGGGGCUAGCUAAAAGGCUGCAAGUGGCAGAUUGGCAUGAUGAACAAAUAACUCCCUCCAAACACCUAAUCUUCUUCAAGGGACUGGCAUCUCCCAAAGCCUGUGUGCGCUGCAAAUCCUGCUAAUAGUCUCCACUAUCUCACCCUUGCAUGCGGUGGACUGUAGAAAAUGAAGUCAGAGAACCAAGUCGCUAUAAUGGGAGUGUGGCUCUGUAAAUUAGGGCUUGUCUACAUUACUCGCUGGAUUGACGGUCUCCUGCCUGUAGUGUCAAUUUAUAUCCAGAAAUGUAGUCUCUAGUUGCUACCACAUUAAGUAGCAGCAAUAUGUUGUAGAGUGACUACAAUAAAUUGCCUUUGGUCUAAACUCUAUUAUUUUCUAACACAUGUUAAAUAUAAACUCUCUUGCAUCUGAAA